GCCUUGGUAGCUUAAAUGUUGAGAGCGUGGCGCUGAAGAUGCUAAGGCGGGAAGGUUUCCUCCAGGGCA
rnacentral:tRNA from 1 species